AAUGGAACAGGUUACCUGAGCAAUGGUUGAGAAGAGGACUGCAACCAGGGCAUCUCAAUGGCAUUUGAAGGUAACAAAAUAUCUAUGGGGUGAGUAAAUCUGUGUAUUGGUACCAGCACCAAGUCCCUUGAUGCAUUCUCAGUAAGUUAGAAGUUGCAGCAUGUCGAAAGCUGUGACAAAGAAGGUGUGACAGUUAAAAAGGAAAUAUCAAAAAUAAAGUAAAAUAAAUCUUUGAAUGAGCUGAACUCUAAAUAAUUAAAACUUGCAAAAAGUGUAAGAAGUGAAGCAGAAAUAAUUGUUGCUAAUAUUUAAAAGCUAUGAAAUGCCUGCAUGUGUCCAGGCAUCAUUUUCUUUUCUAAGAUGUCAGAUUUUACAUUACAGAAAGUUAUCACCCCCAGACUGGUAUUUUUGGAACUGCUCAGUGUCUAAUCAGUUAGUGAGAGUAGUUAACAAUUGCAAGCCUCAUGCCUGGAAAUAAAAUCAACAUGAGUGUUCCUGCUGUUGGCUGAGUUGGGCUGGGGGUGGGCAGGUUGGUGGUGGACAGUGAUGGGACCUUCAGUGCCCAGCAGAUGCCCACUUUACCCACUCCAAUAUGCUUUUAAUCAUAACUUGCUUUCUAUCCCUACUAGCGAGGAUUUGGGUGGGUCAGCGGGAACACAGAAACCCAAACAGUAAGUAGUACCCUGGAUCUUAACCUAGAGGCAUAACAGCCAUUUCACUCUAUAAAUCUAUAAAUAUUGCUACAAGCCUUUUGUUGUAACAUUGCUGGAAGAGCUUUUAUUUUCAUAUUGCAAAAAUAGGAAGAAAGACGAUGCUGUAGCCAGCAGGAACAAGGGAGAGUAGCGGCGCUCUGAGACAGCAGAAAUAAAAGCACAAGCAGGGAACCACACUGCAAACCAAACCCACCAGGAACUACUAAAAAUCAGGAGCUGCCCCAUGCAGGCUGGAGAGCUGCCACCCGUGGAGAGAGAGAACCCUGGAGCUGCACAGGGCACAGCUGUGGAGGGCAAGCUGGGGAGUCACGCUGUGCUUGUGAGGGAAGGAGAGCUGGGGGAGCAGGGGAUGAAGUUUCUAAGCAUUGCAAUUUUGCUGUGAUUUGUUCAGGAUGGGCUGCUCACCCGUGAAGCAGGAGAUAGCUGCUUUUUUUUCCUGCUUUUUAUUUCUUUUCUUACUUUUUUGUUUUUCUUCUCUAUUGCUGCAGAGCUUUUGUCAGGUCAGUGAGUUGAAACAUCCUCCAGCAGGGUCAGACAGGAGGUGCAGACAGCCCAAAAAGGGCUUCUCAGAGAGGGACAUGGGAGAGGCAUAAAGAGAGAACAGGGAAUGGGAGAAGCUGCGAGUCUGGUGUGUCCCAGCUUGUGCCCCUUCCUCCUGAGCCUGGUGCUGCAGAGGCUGUGUGGGUGGUCUUGGAGCUGAGGCCUCCAGGUCCUGCUGUGGGUGUCGAUGGCCUCAAAGCUGUCAAAGUUGUGAGCACGGCAGGUCCACUUGGCAUCCACAGCUCCCAUCCCAAAUAGGUGUGCUUGAACACUUCCCAACCACUGUUAAGAGAGGGCCAGUGGAGACAGGGUGUGCAGUAUCUACCAUGACUGCAGUGACUGCUCUGGUAGCUGUGUGUUCCUCUGCUUGUUAAUCCCCACUGUCCUCACUGUUGAUUUAAAUACCUUUAUGUGGCAUUUGCAGACUAAUGGAGCACGGGGACCCAGAAGGAGCCUCUGAAAGGUUGUCUGAUAUGAUCCACAUAAAUCAGAGCCCAUUCAUUCUUGCACAUGAUCCCCUGCCUGCGUAGACUUGGCUUCUGCAGCAAAAAAUAGAGAUAAGUAGCAAAAGCUGCUCAAGGAGAAGCCUCAUUGUACGUGUUAUGACAGUCGGGAGAGGGAUUAAUCCUGGCAGUGUUUCCCUUGUAUUUGUUAAGGCGGAUGAUACACAGUGACAAUGGCAGCUGCUCCUUUCCAGAGCUCUGCUGAGGAAACCUUACCUGCAUCCUUCAGAGGUGCAUAAUGCAUCAUUCCUAGCUCACAGGGGUGAUCAAGCCCACAGGUGACAAACACUCCUGUGGCACCACACAUAAACAUAGCGCCUUAUUAGCUCACAUUUUGAAGAGCCUUCUCUGGAGGAACGUAAAGGCUGUGAGUGCCAUGGUCUCUGUGAGAGCAGCACAGACACAUCCCCUUCCAUGUUGAUGGAUCAACAGCCUUUCCUGGACUACGUAGCUAAGCCCUUUCUCUAUACUUUUGUUUUCAUAAUCUGCAGAGAAAGAGCAAGGCUUUUUUCCUGCCUCACUGAGUGUGUUGGUUUAGUGCCUGUGUGUAGCUUAGCUAAGGCAAAAGAGAGUUGGUUCCACUCAGAACAGCACUCAAAUCGUUGGGCUACUUGAGGAAAAAGUGUUUCUCAAUCACUCCUUUUGAACCCACUGCAUUUAACAUAGAAGUGUUAAACAUGAGUGGAAUGAGUGGAAAGGAAUAAAGAGCUUUGAUUUCUCAAUGCUGGUGAUGAAUGGUGGUGGUGAUGGGAACUCUGGGCUAAUUGUAUCUAUGCUGGGGAUUUUUUUUCCUUCCUUUUUUUUUAUUCCUUUCUUUCUUUCAUCCCGUAAUUGAACAAGCUGCUAAAAGAACCUUAGCAUUAAAUAUUGAAUAAGAUGGUUCCUGAGUAACCGUUGCAGCUAAUGCACCAGAGAAUUGUCCAAGUUUUUGCUACACUUGUGUUGUUUAGGGAAUGCUCUCGGUAGGGAUUUGACUCUCCUGCCUGUGAACACACAGCUAUGAGCAACAGUUGGAAGGACGGAGAGGCACUUUACCUGCACAUCAAGCUGGUAACCCUUUCUGUGUUGCACAGAUCCCCCUGGGAGGAAGCAUGUAAAGCUGUUUAGUUCUCAUUGCAGAGGGGAUUCCCCAGGAACAGACAGUCCUACAGCAUUCACUACCUAAAGCUGACUUAUCAUCAACAAAAGCUAAGAGAGGAAAAGAAACACAGUAAGUGAUCUAAAGAGACAGCCAUGCUGUGAUGGAAAAAACCUUUAAAAGUAAUUACAUAAAAAGCAUGAGCUUCUCUGCAGAGUUAGGGUCCCUGAAUGGAGUAAUUAAAAAGGAGCAUGCAUUUUCAGUUAGAAAUCUACCAGAAGUAAAACCAAAAUGUAAUCAGAUUCAGCUUCUAGAUGGAAACUUUUUUCACUUCACAGAACAACUAAAAGAAGGUGAAUAACAAACACCACCAAUUCCCAUCGCUGUCAUCAAUAUUGAAGUACUUCACUGAAGCAAAAUGUUACGAAGGAAGUUGGUAAUGGACAUUUAAAGACUUAAAAUUUACUGAAUUUUCUCCCCAAUUUGAUUGUUGGUGAAGUUCAGUGCUGAGUUCUGCAGGAUUGACUUGGAAAUGCUUCCUUUUGACCUUGAUGCCUGGUUACUUGGAGAGCCCAACGACAGCAUGGAUUUAAGAAUCUGCCUUGGCCUUUUGCCCCUUGAGACCUCAGUGAUGUGAAUGUGAGCAGUACUCUGUGCAUUUAUGCAUGCUCGUGUCCUGGAGCCUAGAAGCACAAUUUCCCGUAAACAUUUCCAAGUUUGGAACAAAAACAGUGAUGGCCUGUACCAUGACUUGAGUUCAGCAAGAACUGCCUGCUUGUGCUACGUGCCUUCAGGUAGGAUUGACUGGCUCAGUUAUCCUGCUUUAUGUGACUGCUUAAGAGAAGGCUACAGCCAGUCUCAUCUGCAAAAAGGAGCUCAAAUUCUGUAUUUAUUGUAGCCCUAUAUUGACUGCAGUGAGAGUAUUAUCAUUAUAUAAAUGGAGACAAGAGGUUUUCACCCAGACUAUACAUGUGCAAAAAAGCCAUACAUUAAGCUAGAACAUCCACUUCCUGAAAAUAUGGCACAGGAGAAGGGAGAGAACUGGUGUAGGUGUGAACCCCACACCUGCAUUUUGGAAAGGCAUAUUCUGCCUGUCCUUCCAUCUAUCUGUUCAUCACCCAAGGAAUCCUGAGAGCUUUUUUGCUCUGCUUCCUGUGCCUAUGGAAACAGAAAAACUAAUUGAAGAUGAACGACUUCUGUGUGAAAUUUCCUUCCAGGGGACUAACUGCAAAUUGCAGUGGUUAUUAAUACGAGUGAUUCAAGUCUAAUCAGGGAAAAAAAAUAAUGGAAAAAGGGAAGCCAUCUCAGGAAGGAGAAAAACUCACUUGUCACCUGGGAUAAGGAGAAUCAAAGCUAAACUUCCAAUGCUGUGGACGAGGAGAUGUGGUUGGAGAGGAAGAGGUGUCAUCACGAAGAACAGGAAAACAAGACUGUGAAUAUCAGGGAGCAUUUGGCAGUACCAAGAGGGUGCAGCUCAGAUGACACAAGCCCACAGCAGUCGCCCUGUUUUUCCCAUUGAAGUGGAAGCAUUUGGAUUUCAGCUGGUCACAUUUUCUGUGCAGUGUUUGCACCAUCGUGGAGUUCACGCCCCUCAAGAGGGCCUUAGAUGAAACUGCAGAGAUUCAGUCAUAUUUUCUGGUUUUUACUACCAUGAGACUUAACCUAAGUAAGAGAAAAGGAAGUGGGUCACAGGGGAGCAGAAAAGGCCGUGACUCUUGCUGAAAACUGCUCAGCAAUAAUGAAAACAUCCCCAAAUUAUCAGCACUGUUUCCAGCGCAAAUCCAAAACACAGACCCAUAGCAGCUACCGGGAAGGAAAUGAAGGACCCCAGCCCAAAGCAGCACACUGAGGUGUUUGCAUUGUCUCUUUCUACUUUUAAUAACGGCUUUUUAUGUGACAGUGUGAUGGCUGAAAAGCAACCUGAUGCAGUGGCUACAUAAAUUUGGAAAACUCUUCUUGAAAUCUCUGGUAUAACCCAUGUACUAUAGUGUGUCCAAAUGGAUUUAGUGUAUCAUAACGCUCCUAGAAAAACAAAGGGACAAAGAAGAUGGGAUUGCUAAGGGAGACAUUAGAUUUCAUUUCACACUGGUAAUAGUUUAGAGACGUGUGCUGAGCAAAAUGUGAUUCAAUUCUGCGGCACUUUUCUUUUUUAUUGCUGCUAAGUGAUUUCAAUAUCCAGUCUAAAGUGAUAUUGAGAGUGUUCGAUAGAACGGGGAUGAAAUCAGGGAGCGCUGGAGGCUCAGAGGAGGCCACAAAUCUCAGGUUGACUCGACGAAGCCUUUCUGAGCCAUCCCUACCUGACCUUAACCCAUCUUAUUUAACCUGGAGGCUGCUGUUGAAAGCAGAUGGAGAUUGCUACACAAACAGGGAGGAACACCUGUAGUCGAUGGUCACAAACAUGGUACUUGGGGGCCGCUUCUCAAAGCUAAGGAGCUCCUUUCUGCUUCUGAUAAACACGCAGCUAGAAAAGGAUACCAAACAAGGCCUGUGGACAUUCAUGCUCAACUCAUUCCCAGGGAUUAGGAUUAAAACCACAUGAAAUUACUUUGUUUAUUUGUAUUUUUAAUCCGAGCUGGGUACUACCAUUAAUACUCAGUUCAUCAGUGCAGCACAGCUCCCUGCUGAAUUGGGAUGAGCUGGCUGAGUCAGCUGACAGAAGGAAGAGAGGAAUCGAGUUUGGCAGCAGCACAGACUUACUUUGGCUUAAGGUGGAAGAAAGUGUUCGCUCUUUCCAAGUGACCUAAAAGCAUCUGGAAAAGUGAAGAUAGAGGAUUGGGGUCACAAAAACUCCGUGUGGGUUUAGCAUCCUUGAAAACGCCAGGAACGGAGUAAUUGGAUGACUGGUACAGGCUGUGGAUGCAGCUCUUUCAUCACUGCCCCCAGUGAAUGGAAUUCUUUCCCUUCUACAUUUAAAUCUAAUACAGACCUUCAGAUUUCGCUGUGGAUGGUUUCACCUCUGAGCUGAGCAGCAGCCCGAGAGAGCUUCACCUCUGCUGGCAUAUGGAAAACCCUCUGAGGCUCCAGGUGCUGUGGAGCUUGUAUUUGCCUUCUGCAAAGUGCUUCUGGAAUUUUAGGAUGAUUUACAUCAAUUUAUCCCUCUGCCACUGCACCAGGAGGAGUGAUGAGGGUGCCUGAAACACUCUGCAGGGACAAGGACACAAGAGAACCACACUCAUAAAGCAGGAGGAGAGUCCCGACGAGGAAGCAAUAAUAUACAGUGCCUGAGUUAAGAGGUGACUGCUGCCAUAGAUAUCAAGCUCUUCUGGAAGUUCUCUAUUUCCUGCACUGUUUCUGGUUUGGUGCAGCCCUGGACAAUGUCAGGGAUGUGGUGUCACCACUUGAAGAUCUCAGGAAGGACAAAUCGAUUUUGAAGGAUGCCAAUGCUGUACCCCAUAUUGAUAAACACAUUAUACCAUUUAAACCAUGUCACUCAUCCAAAAGGAAAAAUGCCAGAUAAUCUGUAAUAUGAGGCUAUUAAUUUAUCCACAGAGGCAACACUACACUCACGGCUUGUCUGAUAAGCAGCUUCUGUCUCCUGUGGCCAGUGGGACUGAUAACUCCAGGCUUCAUGACAGACCAAAUCCUUGCUCUCCCCAGUUCCCUUGGAUUUGAAGGUCCUCACCCACACUGAGAGUUUAGACACCCUGGCAUCGCGCCGAGGAGCUGUGGAACCAGAAUACACGUCGGGCCCAGCUGGGUGGCCAUCACUCGCCCUGCCAGGGUCCCCGCGGUGAAGGCUCUGUGAGGGCCGGGGCUGGGGGGGCCAUACAGACGUCACCGCGGUUGGGAUGGAUCCAUAGGGACGUCUGUCCCUUGUGACUGAUGCCGGGGACAUGACUGCUGUGCGGGAUGUGCCUGUCUCUGGAUUUGGGGCUCGGGGCUCUGCGAUCCCGCGGCUCU